AACGAACGCUGGCGGCAUGCCUCACACAUGCAAGUCGAACGAGACCUUCGGGUCUAGUUGCGCACGGGUGCGUAACGCGUGGGAACCUGCCCUUAGGUUCGGAAUAACUCCCCGAAAGGGGUGCUAAUACCGGAUAAUGUCUUCGGACCAAAGAUUUAUCGCCUUUGGAUGGGCCCGCGUUGGAUUAGCUAGUUGGUAGGGUAAAAGCCUACCAAGGCGACGAUCCAUAGCUGGUCUGAGAGGAUGAUCAGCCACACUGGGACUGAGACACGGCCCAGACUCCUACGGGAGGCAGCAGUGGGGAAUAUUGGACAAUGGGCGAAAGCCUGAUCCAGCAAUGCCGCGUGAGUGAUGAAGGCCUUAGGGUUGUAAAGCUCUUUUACCCGGGAUGAUAAUGACAGUACCGGGAGAAUAAGCUCCGGCUAACUCCGUG
rnacentral:rRNA from 1 species